rnacentral:rRNA from 1 species
UACGGAGGGUGCAAGCGUUAAUCGGAAUUACUGGGCGUAAAGCGUGCGCAGGCGGUUUGUUAAGUCUGUUGUGAAAUCCCCGAGCUCAACUUGGGAAUUGCAAUGGAUACUGGCAGGCUGGAGUAUGGUAGAGGAAGGUGGAAUUCCCGGUGUAGCAGUGAAAUGCGUAGAGAUCGGGAGGAACAUCAGUGGCGCAAGCGGCACCCUGGCCUUAGCCUGACGCUCAGGGGCGAAAGCGUGGGGAGCGAACGGG